GCUUAACACAUGCAAGUCGUGCGAGAAAGACCUUCGGGUGCGAGUAGAGCGGCGGACGGGUGAGUAACGCGUAGGAAUCUACCUAGUAGAAGGGGAUAGCCCGGGGAAACUCGGAUUAAUACCGUAUACCUCCUUAGGGAGAAAGAGGGCUUAGCUUUGAUGCUCUCGCUAUUAGAUGAGCCUGCGUAAGAUUAGCUUGUUGGUGAGGUAAUGGCUCACCAAGGCGACGAUCUUUAGCUGGUCUGAGAGGACGAUCAGCCACAUUGGGACUGAGACACGGCCCAGACUCCUACGGGAGGCAGCAGUGGGGAAUAUUGGACAAUGGGCGCAAGCCUGAUCCAGCCAUACCGCGUGUGUGAAGAAGGCUUUCGGGUUGUAAAGCACUUUAAGUAAGGAGGAAAAGAUUGUAGUUAAUACCUGCAAUCCGUGACGUUACUUACAGAAUAAGGACCGGCUAAUUCCG
rnacentral:rRNA from 1 species